CGCAGAAUUUCUGCCGGGGCCUGGGGGGGCUGUCGGAGCUGACGCUCUGGAAGAAGGCUCCGGCGGUGGACAUGCUGAUGGAGGGAUGGAGGGAGGCUCCGCUUCUGCUGCUGCUUCUGUCGGCUCAGCGCGCCUGCUGCUGUUAAACUCUGCAUUCGUGUGACUGAAUGCUGAGGAGGUGAAGUCUCCUGAACCAGACGGAUGGAGAAGGAGCCAGCCACCACCCUGAAACCAUCAGAAGCUGCAUCAGCUGCAGUGGGAGGAGCCAGAGUCUCGGAGCAUGGGGAUUGGACGGGAACAGGUGUUCUGAGCUUCCAUAAAAAGACGAGGGAGGAGAGCAGGAAGUGCUGCACUGAGGUGAUGGGGGAAUAAUUCAUGAAGAUUAGAUACAUUUACAGACAAACGUUAUGCACUCAGGCUGUUUGGGUUUGUUGGAACUGCUCUGUCAUGAUGGAAAAAAUCCUGUAACCAAAUGCUUCAGUUUUACUAUCUGACGAUAAAAAUGACAACUACAAAAACUUUUGGUCAUAAUAAAAAAAAAUCCUGAUAUUCUGAAAACUCUUAAUAAAGGACAACAGGUAUAGAUGGAG